CAGCAGCCACGGUAAUACGGAGGGGGCUAGCGUUGUUCGGAAUUACUGGGCGUAAAGCGCACGUAGGCGGCUUGGUAAGCUAGAGGUGAAAGCCCAGGGCUCAACCCUGGAAUUGCCUUUAAGACUGCCGAGCUAGUAGGUGAGAGAGGUGAGUGGAAUUCCGAGUGUAGAGGUGAAAUUCGUAGAUAUUCGGAAGAACACCAGUGGCGAAGGCGGCUCACUGGCUCAUUCUAGACGCUGAGGUGCGAAAGCGUGGGGAGCAAACAGGAUUAGAUACCCCUGUAGUCCCUGUCUCUUAUAC
rnacentral:rRNA from 1 species